CACGUAGGGGGCGAGCGUUGUCCGGAAUCAUUGGGCGUAAAGAGCUCGUAGGCGGCUCGGUAAGUCGGGUGUGAAACCCCCAGGCUCAACCUGGGGACGCCACCCGAUACUGCUGUGGCUAGAGUCCAGUAGGGGAGUGUGGAAUUCCCGGUGUAGCGGUGAAAUGCGCAGAUAUCGGGAGGAACACCAGCGGCGAAGGCGGCACUCUGGGCUGGAACUGACGCUGAGGAGCGAAAGCGUGGGUAGCAACCAGG
rnacentral:rRNA from 1 species